ensembl:snRNA U6 U6 spliceosomal RNA
GUGCUCGCUUCAACACAUAGACUAAAAUUGGAAUGAUAUAGAGAUUAGCAUGGCUCCUGCACAAGGAUGACAUGCAAAUUCGUGAAGCAUUCCAUAUUUAA